CUGGGCGUAAAGCGUGCGUAGGCGGCCAGGUAUGUCAGGUGUGAAAUCCCACAGCUCAACUGUGGAACUGCGCCUGAAACUACCUGACUAGAGUCUCGGAGAGGAAUGUGGAAUUCCAGGUGUAGCGGUGAAAUGCGUAGAUAUCUGGAGGAACACCAAUGGCGAAGGCAGCAUUCUGGACGAGCACUGACGCUGAGGCACGAAAGCGUGGGGAGCGAACCGGAUUAGAUACCCGGGUAGUCCACGCCGUAAACGAUGUCGGCUCGGUGUGUGAUGCUAUUACGGUGUCGCGUGCCCAAGCUCACGCGGUAAGCCGACCGCCUGGGGACUACGGCCGCAAGGCUAAAACUCAAAGGAAUUGACGGGGGCCCGCACAAGCAGCGGAGCGUGUGGUUUAAUUCGACGCAACGCGAAGAACCUUACCCAGAUUUGACAUGCGACUGCAAGCGCACGGAAACGUGUGACCUUCGAGGGUGUCGCACAGGUGCUGCAUGGCUGUCGUCAGCUCGUGUCGUGAGAUGUUGGGUUAAGUCCCGCAACGAGCGCAACCCUCGCCGUCAGUUAUCAGUGUCUGGCGGGACUGCCGGCUGUAUGGUCGGAGGAAGGCGGGGAUGACGUCAAGUCCGCAUGGCCCGGACGUCUGGGGCGACACACACGCUACAAUGACCAGCACAGCACGCUGCAAACCCGCAAGGGGGAGCUAAUCGCCAAAGCUGGUCUCAGUGCAGAUCGGGGGCUGCAACUCGCCCCCGUGAAGGCGGAGUUGCUAGUAACCGCGUAUCAGCCAUGGCGCGGUGAAUACGUACCCGGGCC
rnacentral:rRNA from 1 species